rnacentral:rRNA from 1 species
AAACCAACCGGGAUUGCCUCAGUAACGGCGAGUGAAGCGGCAAAAGCUCAAGUUUGAAAUCUUCGGAAUUGUAUCGAGGGUCAUGGUAUUAGUGACAAGUCCAUUGGAAAAUGGCGCCACAGAGGGUGAUAGCCCCGUCCACUACAACCUCACUGGCCCUCAGUAGAGUCGAGUUGUUUGGGAAUGCAGCUCAAAGGGGUGGUAAAUUCCAUCUAAAGCUAAAUACUGGCGAGAGACCGAUAGCGAACAAGUACAGUGAUGGAAAGAUGAAAAGCACUUUGAAAAGAGAGUGAAAAAGUACGUGAAAUUGUUGGAAGGGAAGGGCUUGCGUCGAGGGGAAGGCGCCACAGGCCGGGGGCCAAAGCGGCGUGGGAACGUAGCUCCUUUGGAGUGUUACAGCCCACGUUUCUGGCCCCAUGGCGUUUGGAGUCUUCCAGAAUAGGCGCAAGUCG